GUUAGGAUUCUCUUGGCGGUUCUGUUAACAGGUGAGUCUCCCAGUUGUUAGAAGGUUUGUUCAGUCUGUUAGUGACCACGCCGUUGGAGUGGGAGUCAUUUGUGGAGGAUGUUUGUUCAGUUGACUGGUGGACUCGAGGAGACUUAUUGCAGAUCAAACUCAAAGGACAAGAGUUUCAGAAUCUUGAAGCUCUUCACUUCAUAGCUCCAGCUUUUGCCUGCACCCCAAAGAAGCACACUACAUCUGUCAAAAUUUUAAGGGAUGACCUGCCCAACAAAUAACAACAAGUCAACAACAAGUCAACAACAACAAUGGGAAAAUCAUCUGAUCCAAACAUUGUUGAUGAAUACUAUUUGGUGGAAGUUCGUGUCUUUUCAAGUGAUGGAUGUUCAGUGGACGUUAUUUUGAUGGCGUUUCUUCUUCAACUCUCAUCAGAUUUGACUAGAAACUCCACAACAAAAAAGCUCUCUACAAAAACAACUCAUCAUCGGAGUGGAGAAGAAGUUCAAUCAUCGAUGCAAAGACUCCAUUGCUAAUUUCGAACAA